GUGCUCAUUUUGGCAGCACAUAUACUAAAGUUGGAACGAUACAGAGAAGAUUAGUAUGGCCCCUGUGCAAAAUAGCUCACUUGGAUGGUGAGCUGCUUUGCCAUGUG
rfam:Erinaceus europaeus unplaced genomic scaffold scaffold00052, whole genome shotgun sequence